rnacentral:lncRNA from 1 species
GCUUGGGGCAUGAGUUCUUGGUGUUGAAAAAUAGAGGAAGGUCCUCUUCUCUUUGGGUGAGCAAAAGAAAAACCUAGAAACCCUAGAUUUGAUCUUAAGGGUUUGGGAAGAGAGAAGAACAAGAGGAAAAUUUGUUUCUUCUCCAUGUUUCUUCCACCUCUUCAUCUUCUCUAGAAGUCCUUCUUCAAUCUUUGAAAAGAUUUCAGAGAUUUGAAAAAAAGAUCCAGAUCAGCCAAGAAGAAGUCUUCACAUGAACUAGUAU